rnacentral:rRNA from 1 species
AUUGAACGCUGGCGGCAGGCCUAACACAUGCAAGUCGAACGGUAACAGGAAACAGCUUGCUGUUUCGCUGACGAGUGGCGGACGGGUGAGUAAUGUCUGGGAAACUGCCUGAUGGAGGGGGAUAACUACUGGAAACGGUAGCUAAUACCGCAUAACGUCGCAAGACCAAAGAGGGGGACCCUCGGGCCUCUUGCCAUCGGAUGUGCCCAGAUGGGAUUAGCUUGUUGGUGGGGUAACGGCUCACCAAGGCGACGAUCCCUAGCUGGUCUGAGAGGAUGACCAGCCACACUGGAACUGAGACACGGUCCAGACUCCUACGGGAGGCAGCAGUGGGGAAUAUUGCACAGUGGGCGCAAGCCUGAUGCAGCCAUGCCGCGUGUAUGAAGAAGGCCUUCGGGUUGUAAAGUACUUUCAGCGGGGAGGAAGGGAGUAAAGUUAAUACCGUUGCUCAUUGACGUUACCCGCAGAAGAAGCACCGGCUAACUCCGUG